ACUUGCAGGGUGUUGUUUGAGUUGCUUGUUCUAACAGGAGCUCAAGUGGGGAUGGACUGGACUACUAUACUGAAGAAGAGGAAUGAAUUCAGGGUGGCAUUUGCUGAAUUUGAUGCAGAGUCUGUCUCCAAGUUCACAGAGAAGCAAAUGGUUUCCAUCAGUGUGGAACUGAAGCUGGAUUUAGGAAGAGUUAGAGGAAUAUCACUAUCUAUUUUGAAACAGAAUUAGUGUUAAUUUUGA